GCCGCUUUAGCUCAGUUGGUAGAGCAUCGCAUUCGUAAUGCGAGGGUCGCGUGUUCGAGUCACGCAAGCGGCACCA
rnacentral:tRNA from 4 species